rnacentral:rRNA from 1 species
UACGGAGGAUGCAAGCGUUAUCCGGAUUCAUUGGGUUUAAAGGGUGCGUAGGCGGACUAUUAAGUCAGUGGUUAAAGCCUGCAGCUUAACUGCAGAACUGCCAUUGAUACUGAUAGUCUUGAGUUUGGUUAAGGUAGGCGGAAUGUGUAAUGUAGCGGUGAAAUGCUUAGAUAUUACACAGAACACCAAUUGCGUAGGCAGCUUACUGAGCCGACACUGACGCUGAGGCACGAAAGCGUGGGGAUCGAACAGGA